rnacentral:rRNA from 1 species
ACCAGACUCCUACGGGAGGCAGCAGUGGGGAAUAUUGCACAAUGGGGGGAACCCUGAUGCAGCGACGCCGCGUGGGUGAAGGAGCACCUCGGUGCGUAAAGCCCUCUCGGCAGGGAAGAAACAGACGGUACCUGACUAAGAAGCCCCGGCUAACUACGUGCCAGCAGCCGCGGUAAUACGUAGGGGGCAAGCGUUAUCCGGAUUUACUGGGCGUAAAGGGAGCGUAGACGGUGAAGCAAGUCUGAAGUGAAAGGCGGGGGCUCAACCCCCGGACUGCUUUGGAAACUGUUUGACUGGAGUGCAGGAGAGGUAAGUGGAAUUCCUGGUGUAGCGGUGAAAUGCGUAGAUAUCAGGAGGAACACCGGUGGCGAAGGCGGCCUGCUGGACUGCGACUGACGUUGAGGCCCGAAAGCGUGGGGAGCAAACAGGAUUAGAUACCCUGGUA